rnacentral:rRNA from 1 species
AGUUUGAUCCUGGCUCAGAUUGAACGCUGGCGGUAUGCCUUACACAUGCAAGUCGAACGGUAGAGGAGCAAUCCUCGAGAGUGGCGAACGGGUGAGUAAUACAUCGGAACGUGCCCAGUCGUGGGGGAUAACGUAGCGAAAGCUACGCUAACACCGCAUACGACCCGAGGGUGAAAGCGGGGGACUCGCAAGAGCCUCGCGCGAUUGGAGCGGCCGAUGGCAGAUUAGGUAGUUGGUGGGGUAAAGGCCCACCAAGCCUGCGAUCUGUAGCUGGUCUGAGAGGACGACCAGCCACACUGGGACUGAGACACGGCCCAGACUCCUACGGGAGGCAGCAGUGGGGAAUUUUGGACAAUGGGCGAAAGCCUGAUCCAGCCAUACCGCGUGCGGGAAGAAGGCCUUCGGGUUGUAAACCGCUUUUGUCAGGGAAGAAAUACUUCGGGCUAAUACCCUGGGGUGAUGACGGUACCUGAAGAAUGAGCACCGGCUAACUACGUGCCAGCAGCCGCGGUAAUACGUAGGGUGCAAGCGUUAAUCGGAAUUACUGGGCGUAAAGCGUGCGCA